rnacentral:rRNA from 1 species
UACAGAGACUGCAAGCGUUAUUCGGAUUCACUGGGCGUAAAGGGUGCGCAGGCGGCCGUGUGUGUGAGGCGUGAAAGCCUGGAGCUUAACUCCAGAAUUGCACCUCAAACUACACGGCUAGAGCAUUGGAGAGGGUAGCAGAAUUCACGGUGUAGCAGUGAAAUGCGUAGAGAUCGGGAGGAACACCAGUGGCGAAGGCGGCACCCUGGACCAGCACUGACACUGAGGCACGAAAGCGUGGGGAGCAAACAGG